GCCUACGGGGGGCUGCAGUGGGGAAUAUUGGACAAUGGGCGCAAGCCUGAUCCAGCCAUGCCGCGUGAGUGAUGAAGGCCUUAGGGUUGUAAAGCUCUUUCGCCGGUGAAGAUAAUGACUGUACCGGAAGAAUAAGCCCCGGCUAACUUCGUGCCAGCAGCCGCGGUAAUACGAAGGGGGCUAGCGUUGCUCGGAAUCACUGGGCGUAAAGGGCGCGUAGGCGGACUUUUAAGUCGGAGGUGAAAGCCCAGGGCUCAACCCUGGAAUUGCCUUCGAUACUGGGAGGCUUGAGUUCGGAAGAGGUUGGUGGAACUGCGAGUGUAGAGGUGAAAUUCGUAGAUAUUCGCAAGAACACCGGUGGCGAAGGCGGCCAACUGGUCCGAAACUGACGCUGAGGCGCGAAAGCGUGGGGAGCAAACAGGAUUAGAUACCCCUGUAGUCGA
rnacentral:rRNA from 2 species